AGAAGAGUUCGUCCUGUCUCUGAGGUAAAACUGCGCCUAUCAAUGAUCUACAUCAUGUUUCCAAUUGAAUCUCUAUCUUCAAAAUCCAGUUCAGGCUUGUUUGACUUUACGAGCAAAUGGUAUCGAGACUUACGUACCUUGCUUGCUGUAGUUUAUCGCACUACACGGAAAUGUCACUGUCGGAUUGUACAUCAAGGUUUUCAAUUUAA